UAUGAAGGGGGCUAGCGUUGCUCGGAAUGACUGGGCGUAAAGGGCGCGUAGGCGGAUUGCACAGUCGGGCGUGAAAUUCCUGGGCUUAACCUGGGGGCUGCAUUUGAUACGUGUGGGCUUGAGUGCGGAAGAGGGUCGCGGAAUUCCCAGUGUAGAGGUGAAAUUCGUAGAUAUUCGGAGGAACACCGGUGGCGAAGGCGGGUCUCUGGGCCGAUACUGACGCUGAGGAGCGAAAGCGUGGGGAGCGAACAGG
rnacentral:rRNA from 1 species